rnacentral:sRNA from 1 species
AAACCCUGUAUCUAGCUUUGGGGGCUGUGAAGAACAUCUCCCUAAACAUCUCUAUCUCCAACCUCGGAGAUGAUGCCUAUGAUGCCAACGUGUCCUUCAAUGUUUCCCGGGAGCUCUUCUUCAUCAACAUGUGGCAGAAGGAGGAGAUGGGCAUCUCCUGUGAGCUGCUGGAAUCGGACUUCCUCAAAUGCAGCGUGGGAUUUCCUUUCAUGAGGUCAAAGUCAAAGGUAAGGGACACAGACGGGACCCUUACUCGGCAGCAGGCCCCCAGCCCUUCCACCAGCCACUGAUUCCACCUCCCUGAGGUGAGGAGUCCUCCCACCCCCUGCCUCCCAUAGCAGCUGGGGCGGCCACUGAAGCCCUGACAUGCUCCUGUCCCUGGCUGUGUACACCGGGGUAUACUCCGGAGAGGCUGCAUCAUAUGG